rnacentral:rRNA from 1 species
UACGGGGGGGGCAAGCGUUGUUCGGAAUUACUGGGCGUAAAGGGCGCGUAGGUGGCCCGUGGAAGUCUGCGGUGAAAGUCCGGCGCUCAACGCCGGAUCGGCCGUGGAUACUCUCGGGCUUGAGCUUACUAGAGGCAGAUGGAAUUCCGGGUGUAGCGGUGGAAUGCGUAGAGAUCCGGAAGAACACCGGUGGCGAGGCGGUCUGCUGGGGUAAUGCUGACACUGAUGCGCGACAGCGUGGGGAGCAAACAGG